rnacentral:rRNA from 1 species
CUCUAUCACUCCUACGGGAGGCAGCAGUGGGGAAUAUUGCACAAUGGGGGAAACCCUGAUGCAGCCAUGCCGCGUGUGUGAAGAAGGCCUUCGGGUUGUAAAGCACUUUCAGUAGGGAGGAAGGUAGUGUAGUUAACACCUGCAUUAUUUGACGUUACCUACAGAAGAAGCACCGGCUAACUCCGUGCCAGCAGCCGCGGUAAUACGGAGGGUGCGAGCGUUAAUCGGAAUUACUGGGCGUAAAGCGCAUGCAGGCGGCCUGUUAAGUCAGAUGUGAAAGCCCGGGGCUUAACCUCGGAAUUGCAUUUGAAACUGGCAGGCUAGAGUCUUGUAGAGGGGGUAGAAUUUCAGGUGUAGCGGUGAAAUGCGUAGAGAUCUGAAGGAAUACCAGUGGCGAAGGCGGCCCCCUGGACAAAGACUGACGCUCAGAUGCGAAAGCGUGGGGAGCAAACAGGAUUAGAUACCCUGGUAG